rnacentral:rRNA from 1 species
UACGGAGGGAGCUAGCGUUAUUCGGAAUUACUGGGCGUAAAGCGCACGUAGGCGGCUUUGUAAGUAAGAGGUGAAAGCCUGGAGCUCAACUCCAGAACUGCCUUUUAGACUGCAUCGCUUGAAUCCAGGAGAGGUGAGUGGAAUUCCGAGUGUAGAGGUGAAAUUCGUAGAUAUUCGGAAGAACACCAGUGGCGAAGGCGGCUCACUGGAGCUGGUAUUGACGCUGAGGUGCGAAAGCGUGGGGAGCAAACAGG